rnacentral:lncRNA from 1 species
CAGGCAAAAAUCUCAACAUGGAGAGGAGGAAGGUAGGCCCAAAAUCCCACCCCUAGAGGAGGAGCUACUGGCAUUGAUAGCUGGGCGGAGAGCCAGUUUUCAUUAUGGAUAAGAGCCCUGUUCUUAUGGGCUUCUCGGUAACCGCUGUCUCCAGUCUGCAGAACGCUGGUGUUAGAAACGCGUCGACAACUACCGCACAUCGUGAGUGAACAAAGCGGGGGGCCUAGAGGAGGUGCAGAAAGAACCACUGGCCCCUUCUUUUCUCUUGGCCUCCCCUCUCCGCGUCCAAACCCCUUCCCGAGAAUCCCUCACACACUGAGAGCUGCUCGGUGGCUGCAGGAGUUACCCUGUACAGACAGACAUUAGGGUUGGAUGCUCAGGCUUCAGAAAGCAGCUCCUCCUUCCGUGAUAGCUGUGUUGAAACGGCUCAACUUCCUCGCUCUGCCACUGACGUAUUGCUGCCAGGUUGCGGAGUUUCCCAGCAUUCUCUGUUGCUCUUAAGGUGUAAUCUUCACCAAUCAACAGGGAAGUCUCUCUUUGCAGCAGGUUGAAGGUAACUCAUUUAGAUCAAGAUUUAAGAAAUGCAAGCAACAGAUGUUCACAUUAUCAGGUGUUACAAUAUGUCCAAAGUCUUCUAAUUUCGACAACUUUCUUCAUUGUCACUAUUAAUAUGCACACGGUGGUCUGCAUCUGCUGCGGUAAAGAAGCCUCCCCUUCAGCCCUUGUCAGAGGGAUUCCCACUGCCUUCACCUCCUCUGCCUGUGAGGGAACCUCUCUUUCCCUCUCCAUAAGAAAUCAGAAAAAAGCAACUUAUUUCUAUGGGACAUUUAUACAUGUGUGCUGAGGAACAAAGGGACUUUACAGCUUGCACUUUACCAGUGUGCCUCUUUUCAAGCUGGAAGCUAUACCAUUAAUUACUUUACUCUCUACACAGUCAAUUAUGUAUCAGAUAUCCAGCAGUCUUUCUAAAUCCAUUACUUCCAAAAGACCUUUAUGUAUACAAUUUAUAUUUAUACUUCCUUCUCAAAAUGUAUUUGGGUGAUUAGCAACCUAAAUCUUGCUGUAUGGUGUUUUGACUUGUAAAUU